UUUCGCCGCCUGACUACAUCGGCAUCUCCGCUGCCGCGCCCAGCCCUCGCUUCGUUCUGCUGCUGCUCGUCCUGCCCAAAUCUCUGUGGCGAUGUGGGGCCUGUCUCACGCUCCGCCUCGGCCUCCCAGGAUCAGAGGCCCCCUGCCCCGACUGCGACAGCUCCGUUGACGUGGCCCCGGCGCUCACAGUCAGCCCCGUCGCCCACGAGGACGUCUCCAGGCGCGCCUCCCCCGCCGCGGUUUGUUCCGUUGCCGUAGCUGCGGCAUCCACUCCCUCUCAUCACGCAGCAGCAGCUCAGGGAAUAAUAACACAGUACAAAUGUAGAGCACCGCAUCAAGAAUUCAAGAGCUCGCAGUGCAGGGAGAGAGAGAGAGAGGGGCCGAGAUCAAGAGCUAUCGAAGCUGUAAGAAGACGGACGCCAUGAGAGAGAAAAGGAAGAUGAACGGGAGAGGAAGGCUGAGCAAAUGACCAAACCAAACACGAGGACGUAUCCCAUUUGAUUGAGAAGGAACCUACAAGAUCUAGGUAAAAACUAGGCUGCUCGCACACUUCCAAAAUGAACCAGUUGCACACGCUCAUGUGUUUUUCUAUUUCAUUUUCCAGUUGCACACCCUCCUAUGUCAAUUUAGUUGCACAUACAUUGAUUUUUAGUUGGCUUGUAAUGUAGUCUAGUUGCACACACAUUGAUGUUUAGUUGGCUUGUAAUUUAGUCUAGUUGCACAUACAUUGAUGUUUAGUUAGCAGGAAGACUAGUUGCACACACAUAUGCUCAGUUGGCUUGUAAUUUAGUCUAGUUGCACACAUUGAUGUUUAGUUGACAGGACACUAGUUGCACACACAUAUGCGCAAUUGACCCGACAAUGUGGUCUAGUUGCACACAUAUUGAUAUUUAGUUGGCAGAAGGACUAUUGGCACAUGCAUAUGCUCAGUUGGCGCUGCAUGUAGUCUAAUUGCACA